GGGAGCGUAGUUCAGCGGUAGAACACUGGUCUCCAAAACCAGGGAUGAGGGUUCAACUCCUUCCGCUCCUGCCA
rnacentral:tRNA from 1 species